rnacentral:rRNA from 1 species
AAAAUUUAAUUUUUUUAACGUUAAUCUGACACAAGAGCAUUUCAAGUAAGAUUAAAAGAAAAAGAAGGAACUCGGCAAAUAUUAACCUCGCCUGUUUACCAAAAACAUCGCCUCUUGCCACCUAUAAGAGGUCCAGCCUGCCCAGUGACUCUGUUCAACGGCCGCGGUAUCCUAACCGUGCGAAGGUAGCGUAAUCACUUGUUCUUUAAAUGAGGACUAGUAUGAAUGGCAUCACGAGGGUUAUACUGUCUCCUUUUUCUGAUCAGUGAAACUAAUCUUCCCGUGAAGAAGCGGGAAUAAACGUAUAAGACGAGAAGACCCUAUGGAGCUUUAAACUCAAUAACACUUGCUUUUAAACAUGAACACUUCAGAGUAAUAAAUACCUAUUACGGCCUCCUGAUUAUUAGUUUUAGGUUGGGGUGACCGCGGAGCAAAAAACAACCUCCACAUUGAACGGGGAAAAAUCCCCUGAGCCACGAGCUACAACUCUAUGCACCAAUAAAUUGACAUUUCUUGACCCAAUAUAUUGAUCAACG